rnacentral:lncRNA from 1 species
ACACACCUAAUUAUCCCAGCCGCACACACCCGCCCCUCCGCUUCUGCGGCCGCCGUAGCUCGCCGAAAAUACACUUUUUCGGCCACGCGUUUUGGUCCCCCCUACUCCUCUCCCUUCCCUCAACGUGGCCUAACUAACUCUGAAACCGAAUAUUCCCCAUUCUCUCCUCACUCGAUCUCACGUGCUAUAUCUCUCUCUAACAAAUGAAGGAUUGAUGGAGGUCGUGGGAUUAAUGGAUAUUUAAUCCUCUUCGUUCAUCUGUCCCGAAUUAGUUGAUUUGAGAGAGGUUUUUGAUUUUCUUUUAAAAAAUAAUUUCGGAUUUUUUGGAGCAGAGGGAGAAGAUUCGAGAAGGCCAUAUAUAUUUGAGGAUUUGGAGACAGAAAUUGGAGAGAUUUUCGGAUAGAAAGAAAGUGAGGAAAAAGCAAGGUUUAAGUAAAACUUUUCUUCUCUAUUUUUGAGUCUUCUUCUUUGAGUUUUCUUGUUUCUUUGAGACCAUAGAAGAAAAUGCAUACAAAAAAGAUCUGAUUUCUCGGGCUAAUUAGUUUGUGUUCAAAUUUUAGAAAGAAGAAAAAAAACGCACCUCUGGUUCUUGCUUCUGAUUUCGGAUUUGGAUCCAAAAAUAUGGAGUUCGAGGUGUCGUUCGUGAUCCCGUUUGAGUUUGAUUACUGUCUCGAGUUCCGGUGAUAGCGGUCCUUCGAUUCUAUCCGUGUAAUUGCUGGAAUUUUCGUUAAUUAAAACUAUUUCAGGUUCACCUUUUUUCCCUUUCUCUGUUAUUUGCGACGUUACUUUCAUAUGUUGUGAUUGAAAUAUGGUGCUGCCCUAUUCUCUUGGUUACUGUGAUUGUAGUCUCGAUUUAUGCUUAAGGAUAGAGCAAUUGGAAAUUGGAGUGU